UCCGGAGGGUGCGAGCGUUGUCCGGAAUCACUGGGCGUAAAGGGCGCGUAGGCGGCUCGAUAAGUAGGAGGUGAAAUCCUGCGGCUUAACCGCAGGGCUGCCUUCUAAACUGUCAGGCUCGAGCACAGUAGAGGCAGGUGGAAUUCCCGGUGUAGCGGUGGAAUGCGUAGAGAUCGGGAAGAACAUCAGUGGCGAAGGCGGCCUGCUGGGCUGUUGCUGACGCUGAGGCGCGACAGCGUGGGGAGCAAACAGG
rnacentral:rRNA from 1 species